GGAGGCUAGCCUCCAGGACGGCAACAUCUGUCACCCCACUGAUUGCCAGGGUAGAUUCGGCUGAUCUCCCUGGCUAGGCAGGUGUCCCCUUCCUCCCUCAUUGUUCCAUGUGUGUCCCUCCAGAAGCUGCGUGCUCAGUCAUAGAGGAUGACCUUCCCUGCUAGAGGAGAACUGUUCUUUGGUCAAGGAUAUACAGGUGGCUGCGCUGUCCUGCUAGAACCUCCAAACAAGCUUUCAAGACCGUCUCCAGGAUGGUCCCCAAUGAGUCCCACUUCUUGGUGUUCACACACUUG
rnacentral:snRNA from 1 species